CAAAGAUUCCUCAGAAGUAGCUCUUUGGAUCUUCAGAUGUGAAAUGGAUCAUUCCUCAAUCUGUAAUAGAAGCUUCUGUGAAGCUUUGCAAUCAAACCUGAGAAGUCAAGGCAUUUUGUAGCAUCCUAAACAGAAGGAUAUUGCAGGGAGCUGAUUCUGCUUUGAUCCUUGUGCUUGUUGUCAAAGCGCUUGGGAUUGAAGAGACUGUUGGCUACAAUUGACUGUGACAAUUAGGAGAUGAUCAGAGCCCUAGAGUGGAGCACUUAAAGGGUAAUUUACAUGUCAGUUUGUCGAAUAAUAAAAAAAACGAUAUUCAGCUAAGAUUUUUUU
rnacentral:lncRNA from 1 species